GCAUAACGCGAAGAACCUUACCUGGGUUUGACAUGCACAGGACGCACCUAGAGAUAGGUGUUCCCUUGUGGCCUGUGUGCAGGUGGUGCAUGGCUGUCGUCAGCUCGUGUCGUGAGAUGUUGGGUUAAGUCCCGCAACGAGCGCAACCCUUGUCCUAUGUUGCCAGCGGGUGAUGCCGGGGACUCGUAGGAGACUGCCGGGGUCAACUCGGAGGAAGGUGGGGAUGACGUCAAGUCAUCAUGCCCCUUAUGUCCAGGGCUUCACACAUGCUACAAUGGCCGGUACAAAGGGCUGCGAUGCUGUAAGGCGGAGCGAAUCCCAAAAAGCCGGUCUCAGUUCGGAUUGGGGUCUGCAACUCGACCCCAUGAAGUCGGAGUCGCUAGUAAUCGCAGAUCAGCAACGCUGCGGUGAAUACGUUCCCGGGUCUUGUACACACCG
rnacentral:rRNA from 1 species